CGUGAGCAAUCUGCCUUGGAGUGGGGAAUAACGGUUGGAAACAGCCGCUAAUACCGCAUGAUGCGUCUGUAUCGCAUGGUACUGGGCGCCAAAGAUUUAUCGCUCUGAGAUGAGCUCGCGUCUGAUUAGGCAGUUGGCGGGGUAACGGCCCACCAAACCGACGAUCAGUAGCCGGACUGAGAGGUUGGCCGGCCACAUUGGGACUGAGACACGGCCCAGACUCCUACGGAAGGCAGCAG
rnacentral:rRNA from 1 species